GACGAGGUGGCCGACUGGUUAAGGCGAUGGACUGCUAAUCCAUUGGGAUUGCCUCGCGUGAGUUCGAAUCUCACCCUCGUCG
rnacentral:tRNA from 1 species